rnacentral:lncRNA from 1 species
AAAACUGACACAACGUGCGCAAGACACGACUCUGAUUAGGGGAUAACAGAAAUCGGACUGGAGACCUCACUGGGGAAGUGAAAGGACUCACACUGGGGAACAAAAGAUUCCAAAGGACAAACCUCCAUUGGAAAGACAACAAGCUGACUCAAACUAUCCACAAAGGAUACUUCGGAUAAAAAUCCGGACUCGGACCAGGAAAAGAUCCACAAAGAAUCUCCCUGCCGGGAAAAUGCAUAUA